CCUAAGUGUAGUUGUGAGUUUCAGUGGCCAACUUUGACCAUCUGUUUUAUUUGAAAUAUUUUUAUGAUUAGUAUUUUUGAAAUAGUGUUUUAUGCGUAAUUUAUUUUUUAAAAAAAAUUAUAAAUUUUUAAAAUAAGACGGACGGUUAGAACAAUGGUCACGGAAACUUACGGCUGCACUUAUA
rfam:Oryza meridionalis cultivar OR44 (W2112) chromosome 3, whole genome shotgun sequence.